rnacentral:lncRNA from 1 species
CAGCUUCAGCAGAGGACAAAGAAACCAUUGGCUGCUUUUUGGAUUUCCAAGUAAUAAGCUACCACCCAAAAGUACACAAAAACCAGUAACAUACCUGCGAGUAUCAGGACAGGAAGCCCAAUCACUGUCAGAAUAUGCAUGUAUGGAGAAAUCAGAAGUGGCAGAAUAGAAAAGACCCAAAUACAUAGUGCCCUUAAGAUAUCUGAGGACAUGUAGGGUAGCAGUCAUAUGUGGAAUUGUGGGACACUUCAAAAACUGACUUAGAUGUUGAACAGCAAAGCAGAUGUCAGGCCUGGUGGGGUAAAAAAUAAGAGCUUACCAAUGAGGCUCCUAUAUUGAUCAGGGGAGGAGAAGGGGUCACCAUAAUCAACAUGGAGUUUGACAUUAAGAUCCAAAGGACAAACAACAUGAGAGACAUUCAUACAGUCAAAUUGAUGCAGCAGGUCAGAGACAUAUUUGUGCUGAUUAAGAUGCAUACCACCAGGUACAACAGACAUCUCAAUGCCCAGGAAAUAAUGCAAAGACCUAAGGUCUUUAAUCCUGAACUGAUCAUCCAGAAAAAGUUUCAAGGCAGAAAGCUCAUCAUUGUAACCAGGAACAACAGACAUCUCAAUGCCUAGGAAAUAAUGCAAAGACUCAAGGUCUUUAAUCUUGAACUGGUCAUCUAGAAAACGUUUCAGGGCAGAAAGCUCAUCAUUGUCAUUCCCAGUAAUAAUAAUAUCAUCCACAUAGACUGGGUCAUCCAGAAAAAUUUUCAGGGCAAAAAGCUCAUCAUUGUCAUUCCCAGUAAUAAUAAUAUCAUCUACAUAGACUGCCACAACUACAAGACAAUCAGGUUUGCCCUUGAUAAACAGAAUAAUCAUUCAAAGAAUGUGUGUAUCCUCUGGAGUAGAGGGCAGAAGACAGUUUAGCAUACCACUGUCUGGAGGCCUGUCUCAGUCCAUAAAGAGACUUCUUCAACUUGCAUAUAAGAGGAGGGGAUGCAGAGGAAAUAAAAGCAGCAGAAGAGACAGAAACUGUUAAACCUGGAGGAAUUUUCAUAUAAACUUCCUCAUCCAGAUCACAAUGCAAGAAAGCAUUAUUAACAUCAAGCUGAAAGAGAUCCCAAUGAUUCUUAACAGCCACAGCAAUAAGACAUUUAACAGUGGACAUCUUAACCACAGGAGAAAAGGUGUCAGUGAAAUCAACUCCUUCAACUUAAGUAUCCCCUCUAAUAACAAGUCUAGCCUUGUAUCUUUCAACACUACCAUCGGCCUUGUAUUUGAUCUUAUAAACCACUUGCAUCCUAUGGGUUUCUUACCAGGAGGAAGGGGAACAACAUCCUAGGUAUUAUUAACAUCCAAUGCAUCAAACUCCUUUCUCAUGGCAUCCUGCCAUACUGGGACUGAUGCAGCUUGAGAAUAAUAAAGAGGUUCAGAUUCCAAAGGAGAAGAAGAAGAUCUAGAAAAGGCAGGAAGGUGACACACAUAAUCCUUAAGAUAAGAGGGAAGGGUAUGCUGACUCCCAUAUUUUCUGGGAACAUUAGGUGCUAUGAAAGGAGGUAAAGCAGGAGGAGAAAUAUCAUAUUAAAAGGAGGGCGGGAAGCAGGAAGGGUGGGAGGAGGAGGCAGUGAUGGAGGAACAGAGGAAGUAACAGGACUGGGAGAGGAUGGAGGAGUAGCAGAAGGAGAAGAUGGAAAGGUAGAAACAGGAACAAACAGGUCAGUGUCAGAAAAUGACUGCUCAGGAGAAGAAACAAAAGGAAAGGAAGAUGAAGAAAUGGAAGGGGUAGAGGCAGUUCUAAAAGGAAAUGAAGUCUCAUGAAAUACAACAUUCCUGGACACAAAACAUUUUUUUGAACUGAGAUUAUACAACUUGCAACCCUUUUUGGCAAAAGGAUAUCCUAUAAAAACACAGGAAGUUGUUCUAGGUUUCAGCUUAUCCCUCUGUGGGAUUGUGAAAUACAACAUCCCUGGACACAAAAUAUUUUUUUGAACUGAGAUCAUACAACUUGUAUCCCUUUUUGGCUAAAGGAUAUCCUAGAAAAACACAGGAAAUUGCUCUAGGUUUCAGCUUAUCCCUCUGUGGGAUUGGAACAGAAGCAUAGGCAAGGCAACCAAAGACCCUUAAAUGAGAAUAAGUAGGGGCCUGGCCAUGUAAAAUUUCAUAAGAGGAUUUGCCUUGAAGGAGCCUGGAGGGUAUUCUGUUAAUAAGGUAUGUAGCAGUCAACAGACAGUCUCCCCAGAAAGAGAUGGGUAAACCAGGUUGGAAGAGUAAGGCUCUAGAGUUUCCUAUGUUUCCUUUCAACAACACCAUUCUGUUGAGGAGUAUGGGGACAAGUUGUUUGAUAAUGCCUUGUUGGCUAAAGAAGGAUGCACCAGCAAUGCUAGACCCCAAUUCCAAAGCAUUNNNNNNNNNNNNNNNNNNNNNNNNNNNNNNNNNNNNNNNNNNNNNNNNNNNNNNNNNNNAUGGUAGACCCCAAUUCCAAAGCAUUGUCACUUCUAAUGGGUUGAACAACAGCAUUAAACUGGGUUUUAAUCAUACACAGAAAAGACUUAAGCGUGCAGAAAGCAUUGCUUUUAGACCCAAUAAAUGUAUCCAGGUUGCUCUAGAAAAGUCAUCAACUAUUGUUAGAAAGUAUCUAGAGCUAGAAGAAGUGGGAGUGUGAUAAGGACCCCAAGUAUAUACAUGAAUCAAUUGGAAAGGUCUAGAUGUACUUGUUGUGCUACCAGGAAAGGGAAGUCUAGUUUGUCUAGCCAUAGGACAAAUAGAACAAGAGAAGGGCUGUUUAGAAGCAAAUGGAAAUGACAAGGCAGAAAUAUGUUUCAUGUUUGCAAAUGAAAUAUGAGCCAGUCUCAAAUGCCAAAUGUAAUUCAUGUCAGUGGUAACAACAUUAUUAUAGAUGGAACUAUUUACAGUUGAAGGUAAAGCAACAACUUUAUGACUAGAACAAUCAUGAUUACAAGAAUCUGAAGAAAGAGAACAUACAGAAGUAGAAGAACAACAAUUAAAAGAAGAAGAGGAAGGUGGCACCCAAGAAAACUUGUACAGACCAGCCUCCUCUUUACCAAGAUCCAGAGGCAUCUUCAGAGAAGGGGCCUGUAACAUGUGAAGAAAACAGGAAGUUGCAGUAAACAUGACAAUACAGUGCAACUGUUUAACUAGUUUGUGGACAGAAAUUAAAUUACGUUGCAGUAAACAAGACUAUGUAAUGCAACUAUUUUACUAGUUUGUGGACAGAAAUCAAGUUGUGUUUGAAAGAAGGAACAAAUAAGACAUCAUGAAUAAUGAUGAAUGGAUUUAAUGCAAAAGAUCCUGUGCAUGUCACUUUCACUUUAUAUCUAUUAGGAAGAGUUACAAGAUAGUGCACAGUUAAAGGUGUGAGGUUGAAGAGUAAAUUUUUAUUAAAGGUCAUAUGAUUAGAUGCCCCUGAGUCUAUUAUCCAGGUGGCAGAAUUAAUGUGAGUAAGUAUGCAAAAUUUGAAAUCAGAAACAGGGCUCUCAGUUAGCAUAGUACAAACAAAAUUGGCAGCAUACAUGGGAGGAAAAGUCUGGGCAGUGGAGUCCCCUAACUGAGUUUGUUGCAGCAAGGUCACCAAUUGGUCAUAUUGUUGUCUGCUCAACCAUGGUAUCACAGAACUCUGGCCAUCCAUGUUUGGAACAGGGUGAUGGCUUUCAGGAGGAUUUCCACGAGGAACAGACAUAUUUCCUUCAGAAGAAGGGAAAUCCACACCAGUAGUGAGAUGAGUAGCAGCAUGUCUCCUUCCCUUGUUAAAUGUUACACUUUGUGGAUACCCAUCAAUCUUGUAACACUUAUCAAUUAAGUGCCCAUAUUUUUUGCAGUAUCUACAGAAUACAGAACCUCUAGCUGGGUCAAAAUUAACUCUUUGUCUGAAAGGAGAAGGAUUAGGCACUGUGACCUUAUUGAUUCCAACUGAAUGUUUGUUUGUGUGGACAUUGAAAGACAUAGAGUCUGGAUUAAACUGAGAAAUGGACUGGACUUGUCUCUAUUUCUCAUCAUUGAGGACCAUAUUGUAGACACUGUCAAGGGUAUGAGGAGGCUGCAUCAUCAGUAAGUUACUCCUUACCCCCAUGUAUGCUUCAUUAAGGCCCAUGAGAAACUGGAACACCUUAUUCUCAUCAUCUUCAUGUAUGAUGCCAUUUCUGGUAGGACAAAUGCUUCUUUGCCCAUGGUUUUUGUACAUAUUGUUCCUAAUUCAUCCCACAGUCCUUUAAGUUUGUUAAAAUAUGAGGCUACAUCUAGAGAUCCUUGAGAAGUAUGAGAGGGUUCUCUUUUUAGUUAAAUUUUUUUUGUUCUGUUAGCAGUACCAUAUCUAGCUGCGAGCUGUACCCAUUUACUUUGUGCAGUAUCAGAAUACUGUACACUCUCAGCUAUCUGAGGAGAUAAGGAAGGAGUUAACCAGGAGAUUACCAUAUUGUUACAUCUAUCCCAUAACUUUUGUUCAGCCACAUUAGUAUUUGGUCGGGGACAUGUACCAUCAACAAAGACAAUUUUAUUCUUAGCAGACAGGGCGACAAUCAUUUUCCUCCUCCAACCCCCAUAACCACUACCCGAUAAGGGAGUGGAGAUAAGAGAAACUCCAGGAAUAUCAGAGGAGUAAAUGAAAAGAAGACUGGUAGGGUCAACAGAGGAUGUAUUAACACUCAUGUUAGAAGUCAUGAACAACAAUGAGUUUNNNNNNNNNNNNNNNNNNNNNNNNNNNNNNNNNNNNNNNNNNNNNNNNNNNNNNNNNNNNNNNNNNNNNNNNNNNNNNNNNNNNNNNNNNNNNNNNNNNNNNNNNNNNNNNNNNNNNAGACUAGAGUUGAAUCAAAACCACAUGCAAAGCAUAUAGCACCUAGAACAAGAAUAGAUUUACCCGCCUUCUUCGCGACCGGAGAAGAACGGCCUUCAACUGACAGAGAAAACCCUAACUCCGAACAGCAGAAACCCUAGAACCUGGAAACUUACCGGAAUCAGGUCGAGGACGUCGGAAAGUUACCUAAAACAUCCACCCAGGUAAGAUCAAGCCAUCAUAUAGCGGUAAAAGUUCUGAUUGACUGGUCGAUACACAUAGGGUUUGUCAACAACAGAAUCUCUCACAAAUAUCCAAAAAAAAUCUUCAAAAACAACUCUGACAGAGUUGAUAACAGAUGACGGAGGAGCGACCGAAGAUUUCCUGCUCUGAUACCAUGAAAACAUAGCAGAAUGAAGAAAGAGAUUCGGUUGAGAGAGAGAGCUUCUAGAGAGCUCGAAGAACAAAAACUCAAAC